rnacentral:misc_RNA from 1 species
GAGAGGACAUAAGAAAGCAUCUGGGCUGAGGAUGUCGAUGCAGUUAAUUUUGCUGCCACUGCAGCUGCUGCAGAUCUACGGGGAUCUUCCUCAAUUUGGCCAGUUUUUUCAGGGAAAGAUACCUGCCGUGCAUACAUUGCUGGAGCGGAUUGUUCCCUGUCUCCAGGUAUAAAGCUUUGAGAUGCAAUGGAAGUUUUUACUUCCUUCAAACCUUGCUCAGCAACUAACUGCACAGUAUUGGAACGCAGCAACUGCUGGCAGACAUUACUAGCAUGUUCUGACUGGGACUGAGCAGCCUGAAGUUGAUUGCGAAUUUGUUCCAGCUUGGAUUCCUGCUCCUGCAGAGCUUCUCUCAGAUGAGACACGAGACUUGCCCUUGAUGAUUCAAUGACUCUCAGUUUUUCAAUGCUGUCCCUCAAAAUAACGUGCUGCCCUUGCAGCUCUUCCACAAAUGAAGCUUCAUGGAAUUGUCCUGAAUUAAUAUUGACACCAAUUUCCUUCUCAGCUUUCUCAAGAGAGCUAAUAGCAUUCCUACAUUUGUUUAUUAUAAUAUCUUCAUCCACCUGACCACCAUGAACGACUUGAUAACCUGCAAUUAUCUUGUCUAGUGUACUUCCAGAACUUCCAGGAGGCUGUUUCUGUUUGAAGCCUAUAGUCUUUCCAUUUCUGUUACUACUAUCUGAGUGCUUUCCCACAAGUUCUUCCUUGAGAAUUUGCCCACGGGAACCAAAAACUUUUCUGUCUUCCCAUAUGCCAAUCAGUCUUAGCGCAGCAUUUCUUCCAACCUCAUCCCCAUUUCCAAUUACAUCAUGGAGAGCAUCUGGAAGAACCUUCCAAAAUUCAGCAACAAACUCUGAACCUUUACGACGACUAUUCUGCAAAAUGUCAUUUGCAAGAUACAGAAAAGCCAAUCUUUGCUCACGUGGAGAGCAAUGAAAUUGUUUUUCCCAUGUUUCUACAACUUGCUUUGCUUUAUUCAUAUGGAAAAUGCACCAAUGUGAUAAAGUCUCUAUGCUUGCCUGUGAAGGGUUGAGCUUGGCAAGCUUUUCCACUAAAAUCUGAGGAUUAAAUGAACUACCCAUUGACUCU